GAUGAAGAACGCAGCGAAAUGCGAUAAGUAGUGUGAAUUGCAGAAUUCAGUGAAUCAUCGAAUCUUUGAACGCACAUUGCGCCCUUUGGUAUUCCUUAGGACAUGCCUGUUCGAGCGUCAUUUAAACCUUCAAGCUAAGCUUGGUGUUGGGUGACUGUCCGCUUCACGGCGGACUCGCCUCAAAAUUAUUGGCGGCCGGUACAUUGGCUUCGAGCGCAGCAGAAACGCGAACUCGGGCCCGUCGUAUUGGCUCCCAGAAGCUAUCUUCACAAUUUUGACCUCGGAUCAGGUAGGGAUACCCGCUGAACUUAAGCAUAUCAAUAAGCGGAGGA
rnacentral:misc_RNA from 1 species